rnacentral:rRNA from 1 species
UGGGUAACACUAACUGGAGGACCGAACCGACUAAUGUUGAAAAAUUAGCGGAUGACUUGUGGCUGGGGGUGAAAGGCCAAUCAAACCGGGAGAUAGCUGGUUCUCCCCGAAAGCUAUUUAGGUAGCGCCUCGUGAAUUCAUCUCCGGGGGUAGAGCACUGUUUCGGCAAGGGGGUCAUCCCGACUUACCAACCCGAUGCAAACUGCGAAUACCGGAGAAUGUUAUCACGGGAGACACACGGCGGGUGCUAACGUCCGUCGUGAAGAGGGAAACAACCCAGACCGCCAGCUAAGGUCCCAAAGUCAUGGUUAAGUGGGAAACGAUGUGGGAAGGCCCAGACAGCCAGGAUGUUGGCUUAGAAGCAGCCAUCAUUUAAAGAAAGCGUAAUAGCUCACUGGUCGAGUCGGCCUGCGCGGAAGAUGUAACGGGGCUAAACCAUGCACCGAAGCUGCGGCAGCGACACUGUGUGUUGUUGGGUAGGGGAGCGUUCUGUAAGCCUGUGAAGGUGUGCUGUGAGGCAUGCUGGAGGUAUCAGAAGUGCGAAUGCUGACAUAAGUAACGAUAAAGCGGGUGAAAAGCCCGCUCGCCGGAAGACCAAGGGUUCCUGUCCAACGUUAAUCGGGGCAGGGUGAGUCGACCCCUAAGGCGAGGCCGAAAGGCGUAGUCGAUGGGAAACAGGUUAAUAUUCCUGUACUUGGUGUUACUGCGAAGGGGGGACGGAGAAGGCUAUGUUGGCCGGGCGACGGUUGUCCCGGUUUAAGCGUGUAGGCUGGUUUUCCAGGCAAAUCCGGAAAAUCAAGGCUGAGGCGUGAUGACGAGGCACUACGGUGCUGAAGCAACAAAUGCCCUGCUUCCAGGAAAAGCCUCUAAGCAUCAGGUAACAUCAAAUCGUACCCCAAACCGACACAGGUGGUCAGGUAGAGAAUACCAAGGCGCUUGAGAGAACUCGGGUGAAGGAACUAGGCAAAAUGGUGCCGUAACUUCGGGAGAAGGCACGCUGAUAUGUAGGUGAAGUCCCUCGCGGAUGGAGCUGAAAUCAGUCGAAGAUACCAGCUGGCUGCAACUGUUUAUUAAAAACACAGCACUGUGCAAACACGAAAGUGGACGUAUACGGUGUGACGCCUGCCCGGUGCCGGAAGGUUAAUUGAUGGGGUCAGCGCAAGCGAAGCUCUUGAUCGAAGCCCCGGUAAACGGCGGCCGUAACUAUAACGGUCCUAAGGUAGCGAAAUUCCUUGUCGGGUAAGUUCCGACCUGCACGAAUGGCGUAAUGAUGGCCAGGCUGUCUCCACCCGAGACUCAGUGAAAUUGAACUCGCUGUGAAGAUGCAGUGUACCCGCGGCAAGACGGAAAGACCCCGUGAACCUUUACUAUAGCUUGACACUGAACAUUGAGCCUUGAUGUGUAGGAUAGGUGGGAGGCUUUGAAGUGUGGACGCCAGUCUGCAUGGAGCCGACCUUGAAAUACCACCCUUUAAUGUUUGAUGUUCUAACGUGGACCCGUGAUCCGGGUUGCGGACAGUGUCUGGUGGGUAGUUUGACUGGGGCGGUCUCCUCCUAAAGAGUAACGGAGGAGCACGAAGGUUGGCUAAUCCUGGUCGGACAUCAGGAGGUUAGUGCAAUGGCAUAAGCCAGCUUGACUGCGAGCGUGACGGCGCGAGCAGGUGCGAAAGCAGGUCAUAGUGAUCCGGUGGUUCUGAAUGGAAGGGCCAUCGCUCAACGGAUAAAAGGUACUCCGGGGAUAACAGGCUGAUACCGCCCAAGAGUUCAUAUCGACGGCGGUGUUUGGCACCUCGAUGUCGGCUCAUCACAUCCUGGGGCUGAAGUAGGUCCCAAGGGUAUGGCUGUUCGCCAUUUAAAGUGGUACGCGAGCUGGGUUUAGAACGUCGUGAGACAGUUCGGUCCCUAUCUGCCGUGGGCGCUGGAGAACUGAGGGGGGCUGCUCCUAGUACGAGAGGACCGGAGUGGACGCAUCACUGGUGUUCGGGUUGUCAUGCCAAUGGCACUGCCCGGUAGCUAAAUGCGGAAGAGAUAAGUGCUGAAAGCAUCUAAGCACGAAACUUGCCCCGAGAUGAGUUCUCCCUGACCCUUUAAGGGUCCUGAAGGAACGUUGAAGACGACGACGUUGAUAGGCCGGGUGUGUAAGCGCAGCGAUGCGUUGAGCUAACCGGUACUAAUGAACCGUGAGGCUUAACCUUACAACGCCGAAGGUGUUU